rnacentral:rRNA from 1 species
AGAGUAUUAAAACUAAUAUUAAAUAUGAAAAAUUUUCUUCGAAAAAAAUAUUUAAAAAAAUUAAUUAACUAAAAGGAACUCGGCAAAUUUUGUUGCUUCGCCUGUUUAUCAAAAACAUGGCUCUCUGCUUAUACAUAUAGAGAGUCGAGCCUGCCCAGUGAAUUUUUUUCAACGGCCGCGGUACUCUGACCGUGCAAAGGUAGCAUAAUCAUUUGCCUUAUAAUUGAAGGCUAGUAUGAAUGGUUUGACGAGAGCAACGCUGUCUCUUUUUUAUUUUCAAGAACUUAACUUUUAGGUGAAGAGGCCUAAAUUUUAUUGAAGGACAAGAAGACCCUGUCGAGCUUAAAAGAUAUUAUAGAAGUUUAUAUAUUUUUAAAUGAAUUUUCUAUCAAGCUUUUUAGUUGGGGCGACUAAGGAACAAAAAAAGCUUCUUCUUAAUAUCAAACGGUCACGUUUAGAUCCGAUAAUAAUCGAUUGAAGAAAUUAGUUACCGCAGGGAUAACAGCAUAAUCUCUCUUGAGAGACCUAAUCGAAAGAGGGGGUUGUGACCUCGAUGUUGGACUAAAAUAUCCUAAAGAUGUAAA